AGAGUUUGAUCCUGGCUUAGGACGAACGCUGGCGGCGUGCUUAACACAUGCAAGUCGAGCGGAGAAUAUAGCAAUAUAUUCUUAGCGGCGGACGGGUGAGCAACGCGUGGGCAAUCUGCCUCAUACAGGGGGAUAACACUGGGAAACUAGUGCUAAUACCGCAUAAAAUAGUGAAGUGGCAUCACUUUACUAUCAAAGGAGCAAUCCGGUGUGAGAUGAGCCCGCGUCCGAUUAGCUAGUUGGAGGGUAACGGCCCACCAAGGCGACGAUCGGUAGCCGAACUGAGAGGUUGAUCGGCCACAUUGGGACUGAGACACGGCCCAGACUCCUACGGGAGGCAGCAGUGGGGAAUAUUGCGCAAAUGGGGGAAACCCUGACGCAGCAACGCCGCGUGAAGGAUGAAGGUUUUCGGAUUGUAAACUCCUUUUAUAAGGGAAGAUAAUGACGGUACCUUAUGAAUAAGCACCGGCUAACUCCGUGCCAGCCGCCGC
rnacentral:rRNA from 1 species